CCGUUAACAUGGGAAACAACAUGAACACGAUGCCAGCUAACAUGAAUAAUGCUGUAAACAUGAUGAUGGCAGCUAAUAUGGGUAACAACAACAAUGGAGCCAAUAUGGCAAAUAUGAUGAACGCCAUGAACAUGAUGCCAGCUAAUAUGGGCAACAACAACAAUGGAGCCAAUAUGGCAAAUAUGAUGAACGCCGUGAACAUGAUGCAAGCUAAUAUGGGUAACAACAAAGGAGCAAUGAACGCUAUGAUGCCAGCUAAUAUGGGCAACAAUAACAAUGGAGCCACAAAUGCCAACAUGGCAAAUAUGAUGAACGCCGUAAACAUGAUGAUGAUGAAUGGAGGAAACAAUGGAGCUAUGGGAAAUGCAAUGAUGCCAAACAACAUGGGACCUAAUAACAACGCUGGUAUGAAUAUGAAAUCCUCCUAUGUGGGGUAAACACCUGCAGAUAUUUUGUACCGUUGAACAAAAGACCCAGAGGAGCUCUGUUAUACGCCUUAUUUUCAUUUUUCAUGAAUAAUAAAAUACAUUGCUAAAAC
rnacentral:misc_RNA from 1 species